rnacentral:rRNA from 1 species
UGGGGAAUAUUGCACAAUGGGCGCAAGCCUGAUGCAGCCAUGCCGCGUGUGUGAAGAAGGCCUUCGGGUUGUAAAGCACUUUCAGCGGGGAGGAAGGCGGUGAGGUUAAUAACCUCAUCGAUUGACGUUACCCGCAGAAGAAGCACCGGCUAACUCCGUGCCAGCAGCCGCGGUAAUACGGAGGGUGCAAGCGUUAAUCGGAAUUACUGGGCGUAAAGCGCACGCAGGCGGUCUGUCAAGUCGGAUGUGAAAUCCCCGGGCUCAACCUGGGAACUGCAUUCGAAACUGGCAGGCAAGAGUCUUGUAGAGGGGGGUAGAAUUCCAGGUGUAGCGGUGAAAUGCGUAGAGAUCUGGAGGAAUACCGGUGGCGAAGGCGGCCCCCUGGACAAAGACUGACGCUCAGGUGCGAAAGCGUGGGGAGCAAACAGG